rnacentral:rRNA from 1 species
CCUUAAUCUGCUAAAUAGUUGCAUUCACUUUGGUGGAUGAUCAGCUUCUUAGAGAGACUAUGUACGUUUAGUACGUGGAAGUUUGAGGCAAUAACAGGUCUGUGAUGCCCUUAGAUGUUCUGGGCCGCACGCGCGCUACACUGACAAAGGCAGCAAGUAUUCACCUUGGCCGGAAGGCCUGGGUAAUCUUUUGAAACUUUGUCGUGCUGGGGAUAGUCCCUUGCAAUUAUUGGACUUGAACGAGGAAUUCCUAGUAAGUGCAAGUCAUCAGCUUGCGUUGAUUACGUCCCUGCCCUUUGUACACACCGCCCGUCGCUACUACCGAUUGAAUGGCUUAGUGAGACCUCCGGAUUGGCUUUUUUUGGGCCGCGAGGCCCGAAAGUUGUUGAGAAGUUGGUCAAACUUGGUCAUUUAGAGGAAGUAAAAGUCG